AUAGUUUGCAAUUAUUGAUGACAGAUUCACUAGUUUGAUUCUUUCUUUGUUGAUCUCAUUCUUCCUGAGGUUGUUUCAUCCUUCAUAGGAAGAGCUACUACUUCACAAUUGCAUGAGAAGAGAUCAAUUUAUAUGUAUGGCUCAUACACAUCUCAAAAGGAGAAAUCAAGAGGGACUUAGGUAUGACCUACCACUACUAUGAAGCCUUUACUGAAUUCGCUGGUUCCUGAGGUUUCUUCUCAAGCUUCUGUAGAAGCUAUCCUCUGCACCACAACAUCAGAUCCUGAAUCAUGUGCUAUCAAUACUACUGGAUUUUCUGUUUUUCUGUGCCUGCUUUUCUUUCCUGUGUAGGUGGACAGAAAUGCACAUGGGUUGCAGUAUCUAGGGAAAUGCCAACUGAGGGUUCUUCAGGCCUAUUACAGACUAACAUAACUUUGAAGAGCAUAGUGAAUUCCAAUAUCUAAUCUUCAUCUUUGCAAGACCAAGAAUUCACUCUUGUCUGAGUCCUAGAAAUGAUUAUUGAUUCGAACAUUAAUUAUAUUUUCCUAACGUUUGAGUCGUCUCAAUGUUAAGUGGAGACAAUCUGGACAAAACAGAAGCUUUCUGCUCCACCUACUUGUAAGGCAAUGAGGGCAAUCACUCAACAGAAUUCCUCCUAAGAGGAACCCUGAGAGUGUUUGGAAGAAAUAAAUACUAUGCAGAAUGGAUGGUGACCAUCAAGAAAAAACUUCAGCGGAAAAAGAUGGCUCCCAGAUUUCUUUCUCAAGGAAACCAGAGCUCCAGGAGAAUGUUUUGUUUGACUGAGUACUUUGCUGGGCCAGAAGAUGAAAAAUUGGGACCAGGCAUGGUGGCUCACUCCUGUAAUCCCAGCACUUUGGGAGGCUGAGGCAGGCGGAUCAUGAGGUCAGGAGAUCGAGACCAUCCUGGCUAACACGGUAAAACCGUGUUUCUACUAAAAAUACAAAAAAUUAGCCAGGCGUGGUGGCGGCGGGCACCUAUAGUCCCAGCUACUCAGGAGGCUGAGGCAGGAGAAUGGCGUGAACCUGGGAGGCAGAGCUUGCAGUGAGCAGAGAUCGCACCACUGCACUCCAGCCUGGGCGACAGAGUGAGACUACAUCUCAAAAAAUAAUAAUAAUAAAAUAAAAUUGGAAGUCAGAGUCAAGGUAGAGCUAAACUGUAUUAGGCCGUUACAGUGCACAACUCCAGGUGCCGUCACUGGCAUUAAAGCCAGGAAGCAAUUGUGGAAAAGGGGAAUGUCUAAUGGUACCUAUCUCUAUGAGGAAAGCCGAGUGAUACGGACUACUCAUAAGAAACUAAACAAGAUCAUCAAGUUGGUAACAAUGAGGGGUGUGUGUGUGUGUGUGUGUGUGUGUGUGUGUGUGUGUGUGUGUUGGGAAUUGCAUGAAGAGAGCAUGGCAGUUUUGGGGGAAUCUCACAAACAAAGAAGGAGAGCUCAGCAGUAAUUCAGAUGGUCAAGGCUCUAAGCCUGAUGACCUCUGUAUUAUUCCUACAAUAGGUCUAGGCCUGUCACAGGAGAGAGGGCCAUAGAGCACGUCUAGCCUCUCCUUUCCCCCAUACCUUGCUAGGACACUUGUAAAUCUGUUUCUCUUAUCAUCUGCUCCUCUCUUUUGAUAGCCACACUUUUCUUCAAAUAUAUUAAUGCAAGCGGCAUUGCUCUAGCUAAAUCUUGCUGUUGCCAAGAAGUCAUUUAUCUCUUUUAGAUGAUUUUACGUAUUUAUCACUUGUUUUAUUUUUUUAUUUUAUUUUAUUUUAUUUUAUUUUAUUUUAUGGUUUUUAAUCUCAGAGCUGCCUCUUCUUAUUGUUGUUGCUCUGAGUUCUGGAGUCAAGAGACCAGCAACUUAUUAAAACCCCAGUUCUGGACAACAUAGCCAACACAAAGUGUAAAUCUACUAGAAAAAAUAUCUUGCUUUUCUCAUUGUUUGUAUUCCUAUAAUUUCAGUCACAAAACAAGGGACAAAAUAGAAGCUAAAUAAACACUUGAAUAUUUCCUGGGGUCCUUUUGAUGAAAGAAUCUAUAUGAACACUUCAUGCAUUUUUUUUUUAAUGACAAAAGCUUUUGCCCUGUUCUUAAAGUCUAUUAUUGUUGCAUGCCUCUUCUUGGGUUCCAGUGAAUUAAAAUUUGUAGCAACUUAAUCUGUCUCUCUCUAAACACAUUUGUAAUGCUUUGUUUUCUUUAUUCAGUUGUGCUUUGUGUGUCAUAUAUCAUUACACUAUGUUGCAUUUCUUACAGAGAAAAUCUACUGAAAGUGUCUUUUUUUUUAGAAAAGAAAAAUUCUUUAUUACUAUGGCCUAUAGCAAUUAAAGCUUGAAAUUAGAAUUAAGUAUUGUGCAUUGCGAUGCAGACGACCAUAUAGAUAUAUUAACAUUUUG
rnacentral:lncRNA from 1 species